rnacentral:lncRNA from 1 species
UAAUACUUGAGUGAUUUUAGUGAUUAAAUGCAUAUGUGAUGCUGUGAAUCGAGAGACAGAUUUAUUCUUGCUGCUGGGAAUAGUUUUCAGAUUUGAGAGACAUUAUUCUUCAUCUUGGAAGCCCAUAUCUGGUCUCUCUUUCUUCCCUGCAUGAAAACCAUUAUUCUAGGUGAUAAAUGGGUUUUUUAUUUUGAGAAUAUUCUUGGUUUUGGGUCAGAUUUCUGGUCGUUUUCUGCCCUAUGUGAGAACUCCAUUUUUGGUUAUUAAGGCUCACAUAUUUUGGUGGUUCCAAUGAAUGAAUGUUGAGAAAUCUUUUGUAAUGUGAUAGACCCAUAUAGUUGUGGACUGCUUGGUGUUACCUUUGCAAGAAUCUGAGAGAUUUGCAAGUGAGCAGUGGUGGGUCUUGGAAGAUCUGUGUGAUCUUGGGCUGAUUCCUUAGUGGAUGUUAUUAUCCCUUGUGAUUUCUCUUGAGAUAAGUCUUGGUGACUUUAUUUCUGUUGUAGUGCUGACUGCCUGAUUUUUGGGGGCUUUAUAGUGCAAUCGAACUUUAUUCAUUUUAAUGGAUGCUCAACAGGGGAAUAGGCGUUAGACGUGGUCGUUGAACUUUUGGGGCUUUGGUCAAAAAAAUUUUGUGUUCAUUUACAAUUUUCUGCACUUUAUUUUACUGUUAGUUGUGUUUGUUUGAAUCUUGAUUAAUUCUUGAACGCUCCUCAACUUUUCAGCAUGCGUACUGUAGAUGAAGACAUCACAAGUGUCAUUCUCAGUGAGUAUCUUGAGAAUAACACAGCGAGUCUCCUUAUAAAUGAUAUCACUCAUACGCUUCACUCCUCCUAUAAGAGCCAAACGCCAAGUCCCCAGCUUUGUUAUGCCCUGAAUGUUGUUUCUCGUAACAUUGUGGUGGCGCUUUGCUUCACCCUUAUGCAAACCUCGCCACCAUUGCCCUGCCCUAGUAUUUUUUUCUCUUUUGCUCGUAAUUGAAAUGAAAUUUGAAAUGCUUGAGUUCGUUGAGGUGGAGUGUUUAUAUAGAGAGAGGUUAAGUUGUGUAAUGAUGGGUGGCCAAUUUGGAUUUGGAGUGAGUAUUGAUGUUGUUGCUGAAGUUCGCUCCAAGGAUCUUCAAAAUGGUGUUUUCCAAGGUGAGUUCAACACUAUCUUUCUCUACCAACUAUCAAUCCAACUGGCUCCGAUCUACAACCAAUAUAUUCAUCUCGGUUGCUUUUCAAUCUCACCUUCAAAGGAUAAGAUAACGGUGAUGAUUUAUAACCACAAGGGCAAGAAAGAAAACACCACAAAGAUAGGUAAGGAAGAGACCAAAAAUCCACUGGUUUUGGACUCACACAGACCAGCCAUUUUUCUCUCUUCAAGGCAGCCGAGUUGUCCUCUUUCUUGCACAAAUCACACUAGAAAACAGCUAGGGUUGUUACUUUACAAGUAGGCUAGGUUAGACUUUUAGUUGGACCUAUAAAAAAAUUAAACGGGUCAAGAUUCAAGCCAUGUAAGAGGGAAUACAAUUGGAUCGGAUAGAAUCUUUGUACCUGAUUGUUGGUACUUAUUUCAUUCAUCGGCAUAUGUUUUUGAAAUAUAUUAUCUCAUGUUAACAUCAUAACUCGGGAUUUAUUGGGUAUAAAAACCCAGCACAUGGUUUAAAAUCUG